rnacentral:rRNA from 1 species
UACGGGGGGGGCAAGCGUUGUUCGGAAUUACCGGGCGUAAAGGGCUCGUAGGCGGCCAACUAAGUCGGACGUGAAAUCCCUCGGCUUAACCGGGGAACUGCGUCCGAUACUGGAUGGCUUGAGUGUGGGAGAGGGAUGCGGAAUUCCAGGUGUAGCGGUGAAAUGCGUAGAUAUCUGGAGGAACACCGGUGGCGAAGGCGGCAUCCUGGACCACGACUGACGCUGAGUGAGCGAAAGCCAGGGGAGCAAACGGG